rnacentral:rRNA from 1 species
UGGGGAAUAUUGCACAAUGGGGGAAACCCUGAUGCAGCGACGCCGCGUGGAGGAAGAAGGUCUUCGGAUUGUAAACUCCUGUUGUUGAGGAAGAUAAUGACGGUACUCAACAAGGAAGUGACGGCUAACUACGUGCCAGCAGCCGCGGUAAAACGUAGGUCACAAGCGUUGUCCGGAAUUACUGGGUGUAAAGGGAGCGCAGGCGGGAGAACAAGUUGGAAGUGAAAUCCAUGGGCUCAACCCAUGAACUGCUUUCAAAACUGUUUUUCUUGAGUAGUGCAGAGGUAGGCGGAAUUCCCGGUGUAGCGGUGGAAUGCGUAGAUAUCGGGAGGAACACCAGUGGCGAAGGCGGCCUACUGGGCACCAACUGACGCUGAGGCUCGAAAGUGUGGGUAGCAAACAGGAUUAGAUACCCUGGUAGUCCACACCGUAAACGAUGAUUACUAGGUGUUGGAGGAUUGACCCCUUCAGUGCCGCAGUUAACACAAUAAGUAAUCCACCUGGGGAGUACGACCGCAAGGUUGAAACUCAAAGGAAUUGACGGGGGCCCGCACAAGCAGUGGAGUAUGUGGUUUAAUUCGACGCAACGCGAAGAACCUUACCAAGUCUUGACAUCCCUUGACGAACAUAGAAAUAUGUUUUCUCUUCGGAGCAAGGAGACAGGUGGUGCAUGGUUGUCGUCAGCUCGUGUCGUGAGAUGUUGGGUUAAGUCCCGCAACGAGCGCAACCCUUAUGGUCAGUUACUACGCAAGAGGACUCUGGCCAGACUGCCGUUGACAAAACGGAGGAAGGUGGGGAUGACGUCAAAUCAUCAUGCCCUUUAUGGCUUGGGCUACACACGUACUACAAUGGCGUUAAACAAAGAGAAGCAAGACCGCGAGGUGGAGCAAAACUCAGAAACAACGUCCCAGUUCGGACUGCAGGCUGCAACUCGCCUGCACGAAGUCGGAAUUGCUAGUAAUCGUGGAUCAGCAUGCCACGGUGAAUACGUUCCC